GCAGUCGCCGCGGUAAAACCAGCACCUCGAGUGGUCAGGAGGUUUAUUGGGCCUAAAGCAUCCGUAGCCGGUUGCAUAAGUUUUCGGUUAAAUCUAUGCGCUUAACGUAUAGGCCGCCGAAAAUACUGUGCAGCUAGGGAGUGGGAGAGGUACACGGUACUCGAUAGGAAGGGGUAAAAUCCUUUGAUCUAUUGAUGACCACCUGUGGCGAAGGCGGUGUACCAGAACACGUUCGACGGUGAGGGAUGAAAGCUGGGGGAGCAAACCGGAUUAGAUACCCGAGUAGUCCCUGUCUCUUAUAC
rnacentral:rRNA from 1 species